rnacentral:rRNA from 1 species
GUUAUAACCGGCGAUUUCCGAAUGGGGAAACCCAGUGUGUUUCGACACACUAUCAUUAACUGAAUCCAUAGGUUAAUGAGGCGAACCGGGGGAACUGAAACAUCUAAGUACCCCGAGGAAAAGAAAUCAACCGAGAUUCCCCCAGUAGCGGCGAGCGAACGGGGAGGAGCCCAGAGCCUGAAUCAGUGUGUGUGUUAGUGGAAGCGUCUGGAAAGGCGUGCGAUACAGGGUGACAGCCCCGUACACAAAAAUGCACAUAUUGUGAGCUCGAUGAGUAGGGCGGGACACGUGGUAUCCUGUCUGAAUAUGGGGGGACCAUCCUCCAAGGCUAAAUACUCCUGACUGACCGAUAGUGAACCAGUACCGUGAGGGAAAGGCGAAAAGAACCCCGGCGAGGGGAGUGAAAAAGAACCUGAAACCGUGUACGUACAAGCAGUGGGAGCCUCUUAAUGGGGUGACUGCGUACCUUUUGUAUAAUGGGUCAGCGACUUAUAUUCUGUAGCAAGGUUAACCGAAUAGGGGAGCCGAAGGGAAACCGAGUCUUAACUGGGCGUUAAGUUGCAGGGUAUAGACCCGAAACCCGGUGAUCUAGCCAUGGGCAGGUUGAAGGUUGGGUAACACUAACUGGAGGACCGAACCGACUAAUGUUGAAAAAUUAGCGGAUGACUUGUGGCUGGGGGUGAAAGGCCAAUCAAACCGGGAGAUAGCUGGUUCUCCCCGAAAGCUAUUUAGGUAGCGCCUCGUGAAUUCAUCUCCGGGGGUAGAGCACUGUUUCGGCAAGGGGGUCAUCCCGACUUACCAACCCGAUGCAAACUGCGAAUACCGGAGAAUGUUAUCACGGGAGACACACGGCGGGUGCUAACGUCCGUCGUGAAGAGGGAAACAACCCAGACCGCCAGCUAAGGUCCCAAAGUCAUGGUUAAGUGGGAAACGAUGUGGGAAGGCCCAGACAGCCAGGAUGUUGGCUUAGAAGCAGCCAUCAUUUAAAGAAAGCGUAAUAGCUCACUGGUCGAGUCGGCCUGCGCGGAAGAUGUAACGGGGCUAAACCAUGCACCGAAGCUGCGGCAGCGACACUAUGUGUUGUUGGGUAGGGGAGCGUUCUGUAAGCCUGUGAAGGUGGCCUGUGAGGGUUGCUGGAGGUAUCAGAAGUGCGAAUGCUGACAUAAGUAACGAUAAAGCGGGUGAAAAGCCCGCUCGCCGGAAGACCAAGGGUUCCUGUCCAACGUUAAUCGGGGCAGGGUGAGUCGACCCCUAAGGCGAGGCCGAAAGGCGUAGUCGAUGGGAAACAGGUUAAUAUUCCUGUACUUGGUGUUACUGCGAAGGGGGGACGGAGAAGGCUAUGUUGGCCGGGCGACGGUUGUCCCGGUUUAAGCGUGUAGGCUGGUUUUCCAGGCAAAUCCGGAAAACCAAGGCUGAGGCGUGAUGACGAGGCACUACGGUGCUGAAGCGACAAAUGCCCUGCUUCCAGGAAAAGCCUCUAAGCAUCAGGUAACAUCAAAUCGUACCCCAAACCGACACAGGUGGUCAGGUAGAGAAUACCAAGGCGCUUGAGAGAACUCGGGUGAAGGAACUAGGCAAAAUGGUGCCGUAACUUCGGGAGAAGGCACGCUGAUAUGUAGGUGAAGCGACUUGCUCGUGGAGCUGAAAUCAGUCGAAGAUACCAGCUGGCUGCAACUGUUUAUUAAAAACACAGCACUGUGCAAACACGAAAGUGGACGUAUACGGUGUGACGCCUGCCCGGUGCCGGAAGGUUAAUUGAUGGGGUUAGCGGUAACGCGAAGCUCUUGAUCGAAGCCCCGGUAAACGGCGGCCGUAACUAUAACGGUCCUAAGGUAGCGAAAUUCCUUGUCGGGUAAGUUCCGACCUGCACGAAUGGCGUAAUGAUGGCCAGGCUGUCUCCACCCGAGACUCAGUGAAAUUGAACUCGCUGUGAAGAUGCAGUGUACCCGCGGCAAGACGGAAAGACCCCGUGAACCUUUACUAUAGCUUGACACUGAACAUUGAGCCUUGAUGUGUAGGAUAGGUGGGAGGCUUUGAAGUGUGGACGCCAGUCUGCAUGGAGCCGACCUUGAAAUACCACCCUUUAAUGUUUGAUGUUCUAACGUUGGCCCGUAAUCCGGGUUGCGGACAGUGUCUGGUGGGUAGUUUGACUGGGGCGGUCUCCUCCUAAAGAGUAACGGAGGAGCACGAAGGUUGGCUAAUCCUGGUCGGACAUCAGGAGGUUAGUGCAAUGGCAUAAGCCAGCUUGACUGCGAGCGUGACGGCGCGAGCAGGUGCGAAAGCAGGUCAUAGUGAUCCGGUGGUUCUGAAUGGAAGGGCCAUCGCUCAACGGAUAAAAGGUACUCCGGGGAUAACAGGCUGAUACCGCCCAAGAGUUCAUAUCGACGGCGGUGUUUGGCACCUCGAUGUCGGCUCAUCACAUCCUGGGGCUGAAGUAGGUCCCAAGGGUAUGGCUGUUCGCCAUUUAAAGUGGUACGCGAGCUGGGUUUAGAACGUCGUGAGACAGUUCGGUCCCUAUCUGCCGUGGGCGCUGGAGAACUGAGGGGGGCUGCUCCUAGUACGAGAGGACCGGAGUGGACGCAUCACUGGUGUUCGGGUUGUCAUGCCAAUGGCACUGCCCGGUAGCUAAAUGCGGAAGAGAUAAGUGCUGAAAGCAUCUAAGCACGAAACUUGCCCCGAGAUG